AAGAGCAAAAAAUAGAAGAGCAAAAAAAAGUAGUAAAAGAAAAAAGGAACAGCUAUUUUACAAUUAAAAAAAUGAAACGAGAUAAUUUAUUAUAUUUAUUUUUUAAAAACAUAAAAACAAAUCCAAUAAUAUAUAACUGUGAAAAUAUGAAAAAUGUAAAUACUUUUAUGAAUAAUAAGUAUAUUAUAUAUACUCAAGAAAAUAAAAUUAUUAUUUUAAAACUUGUUUUAUCAAAAGAUAACCGAAAUAUUGUUAAUAAUAAAAAUAGUUUUAUACAACAUUUUAUAGAAAAUUUAAAAAAUAAUAAAGAACAAUGUUAUAAUAGUAGUGAUAAUAAAAAGUUGAUAUUUGCAGAUGUGUUUAAUGAAUUAAUAAAAAAAGGUAUUAUAAUGCAAAAAAAAAUAUAUAAAAAAAAAAAAAAAAAAUUAAAAGCAAAAAAUAUCAAACAGUCCGAACAAACGGAUACAAAUUAUGAUAAAAUAUCAAAUUAUAUAUUUGAACAUUUAUUUGAUUCAAAUGAAAAAGAUUUUUUACAUCAACUGAAAUAUAAAAUUGUUAAGCAUUAUGUUUAUAAACAAACUAUGGAAGAUAUAAAAACUAUCAAUGUUUUUGAUAAUAAAGUAUUAGCUAUUACUAGUAGUUACAUAUAUUUAUAUGAAUAUAAUGAAACAUGUAAUAGGUUUAUUUUAUUAUACUCUAAUAUAUUAUUUAAUGUAAGUAAUAACGAUCAUAUUACUACUACAUGUGAAGAUAUACAUAAUAGUAUAUAUCCAAACAAACGUAAUAAGAACAAUCGUAAAAAUAAUCUUACUUAUAAUAACAAUAAUAAUAAUAAUAAUAGUAGUAGUAGUAGUAGUAGUAGUAUUACUCGAAGUGAUAAUAAAUACAAACAAGCAUUUACAUUUUGUAAUCUUUUAAAUAAUAUAAAUAUAAUUUCUAAAAAAUAUAUAGAUAUAUAUUAUUUAAUGCCAACUAAUAUAUUUACCCAUAUAGGUAAAUUAAAAAUAAAUAAUGAAAUAAAAUUUUUAUUUGAAAAUAAUUUAUUUACAAAUAUAAUGGGAUUUAAUCUGAAUAUAUGUAAAAAUGAAAAUAUAAUAGAAAGUUUAAGAAAAUAUCAACAAGUUUAUAAUAAUUAUAUGUUAGUAGAUAAAAAAGAUAAUAUAUUUAAUAUAUAUAGUAUGACAUUAACUGACCAUAAAGACACAUAUUAUUUUUAUGAUCAUAUUAGACAUAUAGAAAUCUGUUAUGAUCUUAUGUUGUUUUUUCAACUAUUAAUUGAAGGAAAAAAAAAUAAUCAAAUCAGUAAACAAAAAAUGAACAAAGUGAGUAAAUGUAACUUAUCGCCAUUUCAUUCCAAAUAUGGAGAAAAAAAAAAAAAAACAUGCAUAAAACAAAAGCAACAAGGGAUAAAACAAAAACAACAAGGGAUAAAACAAAAACAACANNNNNNNNNNCAACAAGGGAUAAAACAAAAACAACAAGGGAUAAAACAAAAACAACAAGGGAUAAAACAAAAAAGCAUAAAAAAAAAGCGCAAAGACAUAAGAAUAUACUCAAACAAAAAUACAAACAAUUGUUAAAUAUGUUUCUUUAUCGAGUAUUAAUUUACAUAAAUAAAAAAAUUAUUUUUAUAAGAAAAACA
ensembl:lncRNA